GACGAACCGUGCGAACGUUGUCCGGAAUUAUUGGGCGUAAAGGGCUCGUAGGCGGUCUGUCGCGUCGGGAGUGAAAACUCAGGGCUUAACCCUGAGCCUGCUUCCGAUACGGGCAGACUAGAGGUAUGCAGGGGAGAACGGAAUUCCUGGUGUAGCGGUGGAAUGCGCAGAUAUCAGGAGGAACACCGGUGGCGAAGGCGGUUCUCUGGGCAUUACCUGACGCUGAGGAGCGAAAGCGUGGGGAGCGAACAGG
rnacentral:rRNA from 1 species